UGAAAUUACUUGGGGUAAGCGGUUGCUGAACAAAACGUAAAAUUGCUGAUGUCAACCGGAAGAUCGGGCUUAUAGCUCAGUUGGAAGAGCGCCGCCUUUGCGAGGCGGAGGCCGGGGGUUCAAAUCCCCCUGAGUCCACUUCGAUGCACCCGGAGAUGGAAGUCACCGGGGAAGGGCUGAAGGUCUUUGACCUGUUGAAGCCGCGUAAAGGUGCGUAACUCUGGACGUUAAAUGAGUUCAGCGGAAC
rnacentral:tRNA from 1 species